AACGACGUUAGCGGCGCGCCUAACACAUGCAAGUCGCACGAGAAAGGGCUUCGGCCCCGGUAAAGUGGCGCACGGGUGAGUAACACGUGGGUAAUCUUCCCUCGAGCGGGGGAUAACAUUCCGAAAGGAGUGCUAAUACCGCAUAAGACCACAGUUUCGAAAGAGACAGCGGUCAAAGCCGGCCUCUAUAUAUAAGCUGGCACUUGAGGAUGAGCCCGCGGCCCAUCAGCUAGNGGGUAGGGUAAUGGCCUACCAAGGCUAAGACGGGUAGCUGGUCUGAGAGGAUGAUCAGCCACACUGGAACUGAGACACGGUCCAGACUCCUACGGGAGGCAGCAGUGGGGAAUAUUGCGCAAUGGGCGGAAGCCUGACGCAGCGACGCCGCGUGAGGGAUGACGGCCUGGUUGUAAC
rnacentral:rRNA from 1 species